rnacentral:rRNA from 1 species
UAGGGAAUCUUCCGCAAUGGGCGAAAGCCUGACGGAGCAACGCCGCGUGAGUGAUGAAGGUCUUCGGAUCGUAAAACUCUGUUAUUAGGGAAGAACAAAUGUGUAAGUAACUAUGCACGUCUUGACGGUACCUAAUCAGAAAGCCACGGCUAACUACGUGCCAGCAGCCGCGGUAAUACGUAGGUGGCAAGCGUUAUCCGGAAUUAUUGGGCGUAAAGCGCGCGUAGGCGGUUUUUUAAGUCUGAUGUGAAAGCCCACGGCUCAACCGUGGAGGGUCAUUGGAAACUGGAAAACUUGAGUGCAGAAGAGGAAAGUGGAAUUCCAUGUGUAGCGGUGAAAUGCGCAGAGAUAUGGAGGAACACCAGUGGCGAAGGCGACUUUCUGGUCUGUAACUGACGCUGAUGUGCGAAAGCGGGGGGAUCAAACAGG